rnacentral:lncRNA from 1 species
GAGUCAUUCAGCUGCAACUUGCUGUCUUUGCUGUGCUCUCUGAUAGUAUGGGUCCUGCUGAUGUCUGCAAAAGACAGGCAACGACAUCAAAGGAGAGCAACACCUGAAAACGUGCAUUUUCUGCUGCCUACCCACUUUCCACCCCACUACAACAGGCUGGGCCCACAUCAAAAAGGUUUAGUAAACCUCUAAAAGUGCAGAGGAACUUUUCACAACUUCAGGCUCGCUCGCUGGUUGAAGAAAAGAGAACCAAGUUCAUUUUUCACUUCUGAGUAUCAUGUCCUCUUCCUUGCUGUAGGAAAAAUGAUGAGAAAGAAGCUAAGUGGCUUUCCAUAGCAUAGUGUCUCCCCGGAGUCCACAGCACAUAUCAGGAGGUUAAGAGCAACUGACCAAAGCAACAAAUCCUUGCACCCUGCUUACAUGGCCACUUGGGUAAGUUUCAUUGUUUUCCCCCUUGGAAGUGUUUUUCCUUGUCAGUUUGGGUUCCCUGGGGUUCUUUGUGUUUAAUAUGUGCAUUCCUGCAUUUUAACAGUUUCACAAUGUAUUAGAUAAAUGCACCAGGUUCCAUGGAACAGCCAGAACAUUUAUCUUUGCCACCAGAUGGCAGUGUAAUACCAUUCAUGCAUGCCUAAAACAAGGGGGAAAAUGGGCUCAAGGGACUUUGGAUAAGUACUAUCCAUUAUACCCUGAAAUAAGAUAUCAUUUCCAUUAUGCAUUCAAUGAUGAUACAUUUAUAAAGCUAUCAAUGGCUAUGGCUAAAGAAUUUCAGUUACCUGCCACUGGGCAAUAAACCACACAUCAAAAUUUACUGGUUGAAAGAGUAAUUGUCAAAAUUCUGUGGAUUGAUUGCGAUCAACUGGGCUACUCUUCCCAAUUGAUUUUCUCUUACACAAGAUGGAGCUGAGCUCUCUCCUAUGUUUAUUUUCAGUUAGGACUCUGGCGAAAGCUGGGAUUUCCAAGAUGGCCUCUCAUGCUCAAGGACUUCUCUCUACAUGGUCCAUCACUAUUCAAAUCUUGCACAAGCUUCAAUACAGCAUGGCAAGUGGCCACUGAAAUAGCAGCUCAUCCAAGUGGACAAGCCCAUUGUUCAAGGGUGAUAAAAGCCUCCUCUUGAAUCACACUUGCUAAUAUUCCAUUGGCCUAGACGCUCCAUGGGAGAGGAACUACAUAUAAGCAACUGGACAGUCCACCACACAAAUAUAAAAGGAUCCAAGCACAAUGUCAGAAAGCUCUCCCAGUAUGAUUUACAUUAGAAACCUCAUAAAUCUACAUUUCUUUUCUCAGAAAAUCAUAAAUAAAACAAAUGGUGCUGACACAUCUUGUAAAACGUCAGAAAAAUAGACCAUCCAGUUGUUCCCCUGAGCACUUUGCAUAGAAAGGCACAACCCAGGCUGUGGCCCUAGAAUUUUGGGAACUAAAACUCAACAUGUUAAGGACACCCAUGGUUAAGCAAGCUAAAAGAGAAGACUAGCAAUAAAUAAACUUUAAAAGGAAAUUUUCAGAACCAGAUGUAAAUUUAGUCGUUUACAAAGACAGGCCUACCUGGUGUACGAAUGGAAGCUACUUUUAAACUCAACCCUU